UACGUAGGGUGCGAGCGUUAAUCGGAAUAACUGGGCGUAAAGGGUGCGCAGGCGGUUUGUUAAGACGGAUGUGAAAGCCCCGGGCUCAACCUGGGAAUGGCAUACGUGACUGGCAAACUAGAAUAUGGCAGAGGGAGGUGGAAUUCCAUGUGUAGCAGUGAAAUGCGUAGAGAUAUGGAGGAACAUCGAUGGCGAAGGCAGCCUCCUGGGCCAAUAUUGACGCUCAGGCACGAAAGCGUGGGGAGCAAACAGGAUUAGAUACCCCCGUAGUCC
rnacentral:rRNA from 1 species